CACUGCUUAGGAACGGUGCAUGGAAAGCAUAUAAGGUGCGAAGAGCCGGAUUGCGCGGGUUCCGAGCUUUAUAAUUAUAAACGAUAUCACUCCUUGAUUUUAAUAGCGGUUGCUGAUGCAAAUUAUUAUUUCAUCAGCGUUGACAUAGGUGCUUAGGGCAGCAGUAGUACUACAAUUUUUUUAAAUUCUACAUUUUUUUUUAUUGCCUUUGUACACAAGUUUGGCACAAGUUCGUCAAUUCAACAUGCCACCAUUGAAAAACUGCGUGGUGCAGAAAACUACUCCACGUGGAAGUUCUCCAUGCGGAUGUUAUUAAUCCAUGAAGAGUUAUGUGAUUCCGUCACGGAUAAAUGGGAAUUGACGGAAGCCAUGAAGAAAAGAGCGAAAAGUCAUUGGCACGUAUUGCGUUGUCGGUGCAGCCAGCGGUCAUCCCAUGCAUCCGCACCGCCACCAGCGCACACGAGGCGUGUAAUAACCUAAGUAAGGCGUUCGGAGGGCGCGGCUUGUAUAGGAGACUUGGCAUACUGAGAAGUCUCUUCGGUGUCAAGUUAUCGUAUAGCAGUUCAGUUAUCGGAUAGCAGUUCCAUGGAAGCCUACAUCAAUAAAAUUAAAGAGUUGGCGUGUCAACUGAGUGAAAUGGAAUCCGCAUUGGAUGAUGAGUUUAUUGCCGUUAUAAUGCUAAGUGGGCUCACAGAAGAUUUUGACCCCCUCAUCAUGGCAAUUGAGAACUCAAAUGUAAAACUCACCACGGAACUUGUCUCAGGAAAACUCUUGGCAGAAAACCAGAGGCGUGAGGAGAAACAAGAUAUCACUGCGUUGGUAACCAAGAAGCCACCGAGAUGCUUCAAGUGCAAAAAUGUGGGUCAUAUUUCUAAGAAUUGUUCCAACAAAGGAAGCUUCAAGGAGUCAGCGGACGUAGGAGGCAACAAAGGCAAAAAUAAAUCCAGAUAUCAGACUAGGAACAAUCCGAAGCAGAAUAUCCCAAAGGACAAAGCGCUCUUUGCAGCUCUGUCUGUAAAAAUAAGUAGUGAUGUGUGGUACAUUGACUCCGGUGCUACUAAUCAUAUGUGCAAUGAUAAAAAGUACAUGAUGGACUUCCGACCUAAUAGUGUGGAUGUGAGCAUCGUGAAUGGUGAAAAGCUACGAACAGGUGGCAUUGGACAUGUAAAAGUAUUUGAACUUUUACAUGUCCAAUGCCACCUGUUUGAAAGACUGUAUAAGAACAAUAAGUGAUGUGUAUUAUGUUUCUAAUCUUAGUACGAACUUAUUGUCAGUAAGUGCCAUAACAAAGAAAGGGUAUACUGUUGAAUUUAAUAAUAAAUUAUGUAGGGUCUAUGACAAACAUGAAUGUCUAGUAACAGGUACACAGACAAGUGGUGUCUAUCAGCUGGAUACUGUGUCAGACAACGGCUGUGUCGUCGCUUCGGCUGUGAUGGCUUCGGCAAAGAUUCACACUGCUAAUGCGGCAACGAUGUUAUCUCAGGAGGUAUGGCCCAGAAGACUCGGGCACCUAAACUCGAGGAGUAUGCAAUUGCUACAAAAAGGUAUCACGGUGUCUUUGGAGACAGGUUUUAGUAUGUG
rnacentral:misc_RNA from 1 species